GCGGGUGUAGCUCAAUGGCAGAGCGCCAGCUUCCCAAGCUGGUAGCGUGGGUUCGAUUCCCAUCACCCGCUCCA
rnacentral:tRNA from 1 species